rnacentral:rRNA from 1 species
CCUACGGGCGGCUGCAGUGAGGAAUAUUGGUCAAUGGGCGGAAGCCUGAACCAGCCAAGUAGCGUGCGGGAUGAAGGCCCUACGGGUCGUAAACCGCUUUUGCACGGGGAUAACACCCUCCACUUGUGGAGGUCUGCAGGUACCGUGCGAAUAAGGGCCGGCUAAUUCCGUGCCAGCAGCCGCGGUAAUACGGAAGGCCCGAGCGUUAUCCGGAUUCAUUGGGCUUAAAGGGAGCGUAGGCGGGCGUUCAAGUCAGCUGUAAAAUCGCGCGGCUCAACCGCGCCCCGCAGUUGAAACUGGACGCAUUGAGUUCACAACAGGCAGGCGGAAUUCGUGGUGUAGCGGUGAAAUGCAUAGAUAUCACGAGGAACCCCGAUUGCGAAGGCAGCCUGCCGGGGUGCGACUGACGCUGAGGCUCGAAGGUGCGGGUAUCAAACAGGAUUAGAUACCCCAGUAGUC